rnacentral:lncRNA from 1 species
CUCAAACCGAAGUUUCCUUUUCUUAGUCUCAGCCUUUCCAAAAAGCCAGCUUAGUCUAAUUAGCCAUGUAGAGGGAAGGACUUCUUUGCCUGAAAUAAAAUGAAGGACUAUCUGACGGGUUCGUUUGGGAGGAAGAACAUGCACGGCAUGGCUCGCUCGCUCUCUCCGUUUUCCUACUGAUCUGCAGAGACAGUGCAUUUGAACUACUGCUGCCCAGGAGGUCUGCACUUGCCUAGUUUUGGCAACAAGACACAUGGACAAGCCUGUUAAAUUCAAAGGUGAAAUAUGAACACAUUCAUUGAUAACUUCAAAGCCACAGCUUCUCAUCUACUUUUGCUUCUUCCUCCUCCUCCUCCUCCUCCUUUUCCUCUGUAAGCAGUAAAGCUGUUUUGAUCUCCCAGUAUCUGAUUCCUGCCUUUCUUUCCCCCACUCCCACUUUUUUUUUUUGGAACUCUUGAG